rnacentral:misc_RNA from 1 species
GCUUCGAUGCGUUCGGUUGUGUUUCUUAUAUCGCUACUUGGGCCUUGCUCUGUGCCCGUUUUCUUCACAUUGUAUUGAAAGUCGUAACGCCUGCGCGUGUUUUAUGCAUUUUGAAACGGUUGCCAAUCGAGCUAAAUACAAAACACAAAUUGUUUCAAUUCAUAUACUAAUAGAUAUGCAACAGGUGUAACAGUGUGCACAGGUGUCUCAAAUCUUUUAACUCGCUUACAAUUGGAUUUACGCAAUCGGCAGCAGCUGCUAAGGAACUUUAAGUGCCUUCGAUAAUAGCUCAAUCAGCUCGGCUCAGGUCAGAUCAGAUCAAAUCUGAUCAGAUCACGUGCCGGCAACUACAGUUAGUGUAAUUCGGUAGAAGUAGCCGAAAAGUUGUCGUCCAAACAAAUACUCGAAACGCUACCUAAGAUCCAAAAAAAAAAAAAAAGCCAAAAUAAAACCCGUCGAGAAGCCGAAAGCUGACAAAAGAGUUGGCUCGUUGAUCGUGUUGGCAUUUAAUUUAGCUGGUUACGUGGCUGGGACACUCGUGCGGCCGCCGAAAAGAAAGUCACGACACUAUCCAAAGCGGUUCAAAACAAGAUUUCCAAGAUUCUGCGCCGAAAGUCAAAGUUACAAGUUUACAUUUUGGCCCGGUUCAACGUCUUAUCAGUGUGUGUGUGUCGCCUGUCGUGUGCGCGUAUGUGUGUUUGUGCCACUUUAGAAAGUGAAAAUCGAGUGCAGUCCCAGUUUGAAGCGCAUUCGGUCAGAGCUGCAGCUGAAAGUGAAUUUGCCUGCGAGCUCCAUCAUCAUCUGUCCCAGUAGCUCCAGAGACAGCUACAGCUACAGCUCAGCUACUUGGCCCAACUGCCAGAAAUAUAAAAUUCGUCUAUAGAGCAGCAGUCCAAACUGGCUUCACGUUCCACAAUGGAGGCCGAAGAAAUUACAAAACUCGUUGAUGGUGUUUAUAGGAAUAUACUCGAUAGAUUCAAUCCGGGUGCCAGACAGCUAAUUGCGGCGGGCAAAAGUUACCUGAAGGCAUUGCAUGGUGCCGCAACAGCCUCGCGUCUAUUCAAUGAAGCAUUGGCCAAGAUUGCGAUGAACGCGCAGCAAAGCGGAACGGGCGAUAUUGGUUCAGCUUUGAUGAGCGUUGUGAAUGUCAACAAGGAGAUUCAGGAUCAACAAAUGAAUAUUCUGAAAGCCUUCUAUGUUGAUCUAUUGGUGCCAUUGGAGACAAAUUUGGAGAAGGACACAAAAGUGGUGCAGCAUGAGCAGAAGAAGUUUAUGCAGCAGCACAAAGUGCGCAUGGAGAGCUACCAGAAGGCUGUCUCCACAAUGAAGAAGCAGCGCAAGAAAAAGGCCACGCCCGAGAACACGGAAAAGGAGCUGAGAAGCCUACAAUUGUUGGAGGAUCAGAAGAAGAAACUCGAUAUAUUUUGUGAUCAGAGCUAUAAGAAUGCCAUGACACAGGAGCGUCGUCGCUAUGGCUUCGUCUUGGAGCGCCAGUGCUCGAUCGCCAAGCACUGGAUGGCCUACCACACCACCGGCAAAACAGUAAUUGAUAAUAAUUUCGAAAAUUGGCAAGAAAUUGCCGCUUCCCGUGAGAUAAUACCGCCGGCCGCAUACGAGAGCGGCUACAGCAGCAGCAACAGCAAUACGAGGCGCCUGGAGCGCAUCAAAGACGCUGAUGAUGAGCAGCUACAGAGCCAAGGCAUGGGCGCUCAGCUAAAGAAAUCGCGCAGCAUCGAUGCCCCGUACGGAGACAUGCGCACUCUGCACGAGCGUGAAGGUGGCUCGGGAUCAGCGCUCUAUGGACAGAAUUCCUUGCCGCGUGCCAAAUCCGACUUCAAUUUGGCGCUCGUUGGAGCUGGACCUAUGACAGGCAGCAAACACAAAAUAAUUGAGGAGCAGCUGCCGCUCUGUGAGGUGGAGCGUGGGGAUCAGCGUCCACUGGUCAAGGCACUGUAUGCCUAUAUGCCUUCGGGUGAGAAUCAGCUGUCCUUCGAGGAGGGCGAUCGCAUUGCCCUGGUGGGCGGCAAGGCCAAGGGCUGGCAGUUUGGUGAGAAUCUGCGCACGCAGCACUUCGGCUGGUUCCCUGUGGCCUACACCAAUGCAGAGAGUCUGGAGGUGGCGCCAUCUAGCGGACGACGCUAUGAGAACAUGCACAUGAGCUACGCCAGCAGCGGACUGCGCAGCUACCAUGAGCAGCAGCAGCAGCAACAGCAGCAGCAGCAGCAGCAAUACGAAGCGCAGAUGGAGCUGAUGGACAACGAGGCCACGUACAGACGACGCCGUAAUCACAGCGCCGAGGAGUCCUCGCCCACGCGCAUGUUCGGCGACACCAUCAAGCAGCAAAAGAAGUACCGCUCCGGCUCGGCAGCCAAUCCACGCCCCGGUCCGCCGCCCACGCUGCCCGCUCCAGUCCCGAAUGGCCAGAGCCAGAGCGCCCGUAUGCUGAACAGUUCGCAGAGCUUCUGCGCUGCCAACGGCGUGCCCGCUGCCGUGGAGCGACGCAAGCAGAAGCUGCUGAAUGGCGCACAGAGCUCCAUGAGCCAGCCGUCCACAAAGUCCGCAGCGGCGGCAAAGACCUCGCUGCACAGCAGCAAUGACAGCGGCUUCGCCAAUGAGCCGCCGCCACAGCCCGAGGUGGACUACUCCGACGAGGAGCCAGCCACACAGCGUGUGCCCAUACGCAGGCGCGGUAUUUAUCGCAACUAUUCCAUGGGCUACUGAAGCCAACACACAAAUUACAAUCCCGUAGACGGUAUUCCACUAAAACACACAAAAUCCACACUUUGUAAAAGUCGCUUACUAGCCCUGUCUCCACAAGUCUCUGUGCCUCCCUUAUAAGCAUAAAUGUAUUGUACAAACAAGUCUGUACGCCUCGCAAUUCGCCACGAUCAAGUUGCGCCACACGAAGACUAACGAUCGAUCCGCUCCAAUGAUAUACCGGAGCGUCAACAAGUAGCAACGAAUGCGCAAGGUGGAGUUUUUGUUAUGAUCAGGACAGCUAAAGGUUUCAGCUACAUCUACACACACACAGACACUCGAACACAAUUAAAUCCGAACACAAAAGUAAUAUAAACCUUAUAUAUAUAUACGCCCGACAAGCUGCGAGGAUCGCGUCUUAGUUCUUAGGCUGAGCAGCUGGGCAAGGAUUCUUGGUAGUCAUUAAGUUGUAUUGUUUGUUAUUAAAA